AGAAAUAGAACGACAUUCAUCCUCAAAUAUUAGCAUUGAACGGGAACAACUUAAGGUGAUCGCGCAUUGAUUUUAUCAUGAAUUAACUCUCAGACUGCUCAAAGAAAGAUGAGACUGUGGUAUAUAAAAAGCUUAUACAAGUUGGAUUUUGAUGCAUUUUAAGAACAUAACAUUACACCAUUGUUUACUUGAAAGAAAUAAUCCGAAGAUUUAUUGAGACCAUGUCAGGUCUCGUUAUAGUCACUUGGUGAGUUUGGAUGAUGAUGAAGCUGCAUAUCUGGCAUUAACAACUGGUUUCUUCACGGGAACAAUGCUGGUGAACAACCAAGAGAUGGCAUGAUGAGAACUGAAAAUAGUAAAAGAUUAUUUUUCCAUGAAGAAAUAGUACCAGGAAGUCCCAAUGAAAAAUGCUUUAAGCACGUCAUUAAGUCUGAUAAUCACGCUGCACAAGAAUGCUGUGGGGUGCAUAAGUCGGUGCGAGGGGCAGAGUGGUGACAGAAUCUUCAGAUCGGAUUUUAUGUGAUGCAGAGUCAACAAGUACAGGUGCAUCAUGCAUUCAAUCCCCAAUAGAAUAUACGAAUUUGAUCAAGUCAUGUUGUAGAUCCAAAUGAAUUUUGAUUUGACUUUUCAGUUCGAAAGAUUGAUUCAUGCUCCUCCCCCUCUUCCCCCAGUCUAUUCAUGACCAAAAUUUCUUGAAAGAUAAACUUUGCAACUAUGAUGUAGACACAGAAGUUGAUAGUUUUGAAGUUAUGAUCUCUGACUUGAAUAAGAAGUGAACCGACUUGAAUAAUCUAGGAGAUCUAUGACUUGAAUAAUCAAGGAAGCAUUAUCAACCAUAAGUUUGCAAGCAUGCAGCAAAACAUUAUGACAUGAAACCUAGAGUUCCAGAAAUAAGUAGAUAUGCCAUAUUAUAGAUUUG